rnacentral:tRNA from 1 species
GCCGGGGUAGCUCAGCCUGGUUAGAGCGCCAGGCUAACCAUCUGGAGAUCGUAUGGGACAGAGGUCGUGGGUUCAAAACCCAUCCCCGGCA